UUUUAUCCUGCUAGAAGUACCGGGCACGUAUAUUGCAUUGUGUCUUGGGGAUCUCCAUGGGGGAAGGAAAGAGGAGGCCAAGGGGAUCUGGUGUCACAACCAGAUCUCAGUUGAGUAAGAUCCUACACUGCUAAACAGAAAGACGUAAAGAGGCUGGAGAGGACCUGUGGUGUGGAGAAGACUGGAAGCUGUGGCACCAGGGAUUUCCUGAACAUCAAGUACCCGGCCAGAGCUUUGCCAUAGGAGAAACAGCAGCUGAAGAUUUCGGUAAGGAAACAUAACAAGGAGAACAAAAUAAGAGUCUGAGAAAAGUGAGCAGAAGAAAAUAUUUCUCAGCUACAAAAUACUCAGUAACAUUCCCAAUCAACACUGGCUCAGUGCAGCCCAAAAUCCUGUGACAUUGGGAAGAGACAGCUCGGAGAUUCCCUAGUCAUUGACUGGGCUUUUAAAUUUAUUCUUUGCAGCCAGACAGUGCUCCUGUUGCCGGCUUGCGGGCACAACAGCCAACUCUCCCCCCCCGCCAAUCAAAGGGGCGCUGCCGAAGCGGGGCUGCUCCUGCAACAAAAGUGUAGGAAGCUCAUGGCUGCAGAGUAAUGCAGACAAAGCACGAGUGAGAGGGAGACAAAAGGGAUGGAGUCCCAGAAGAUGUGAUCCACCCCGUUAAAGGAACCGUCUGUAGCCUCUGCAGCUGUGUUUAUGCUGCCUCACGCAAUAGGCACCAGCCUCUCAUCCCCCCAGGAGAUUUUUACAGCAUUAAUUCACUCUGCAUAAAACCCAGCCUGCAAGGCUCUUCUUCAGCAGCACCCUUUUCAUCCCUCCAGCUCCCCCUGUUCCCAAGAGCCCUGUCCGCAGGGGCUGCACCCCUCCGGCUGACCUGCCAGUGCUCUCGACCAAAUGUCACCUGUACCCAAUGAAGCAGACACCGAAGUGCCACGAAUGGAUCCCAGGAUUCUUAUUUUCCUUCUCUACGUGAUGAUCCUUCAUGAGCUGGUGAGUGGCUGGAUGGAGUACCAGAAGCAGAUAGCCAAGCCGAAGAAGCAGGCGGGUCCAGUUUGGUCUUCUAGCAACACCACCAGAUCAAACCACUCCAGCUUCUCCAGGCCUCUGGUCCACUCUGUGCGCAGGGAGAGGUACAGGGACUGGAGGAAACCAGGGAGGAUCAUCCGGAAAGCGUGAGGAUGAAUCUGUUGGGGAGCGUGGGGAGAGAUUACUGAGCCAGAGGCAACCAUCCCUCAUAAGGUCUGCACCAACUUACCACCUCUCAGCAGCAGCCGGCAUGAGAGCAUCCUCCAGGCACCGUGAUCUGCAACCUGCAGCUCUCUCCUUUGCACUGAGCCUGGCAUGACCGAGAAGGAACGAGCUCCUUCCUCCUGGGAACCCGUCCCUGCGUGGUGAGGAGCCAGGGUGGAGACACCUCAGCCAACAGCGGGAUCGCCGGAGGUGGGAUGAGGCUUUUGCCACCCAACAGAGUGAAGUGACUUUUGUUUCUUCGUUCCAAAGGGUCUGGUAGAUGGAGAGUAGAUUUUUGGGGGGAAGAAUUAGAUUUGCUCCUGCAUGGGCAACCCUGGGAAGCCUCCAAAUGGUUUCAGUCUCCUCUCCUUCCACCUCAGGGCUGCGUGGUUGGUAAGCAGCGUUUCCCAAAGUGACUGGAAAGUCAUUGGUGUUCACUUUGCCGCCACUCCCAGGAGAACUUGCCUCCACUGGGGCACCCAGAAGUCAUGACACUUUGGAAAUGCUGGCUCCGCGUUAAGUCUCAUUCACUGGGAGUUGGUAAUUUUUUUUCUGCUUUUUUUCACCCUUGUUAAAUGAGGUACUCUGGGGUGGAAGGGGAAAGAGCCCUGAACCAGUGACUCAGAAUUAUGCCGCCAAUUGCAAUUUACUGCAAUGACCUUGUAAUUAGAUUUCUUCAGAGCAUUCCCAGCAGUCGAACUAAAUGUAAGAGCAACUUUCUAAUCAGCAGAUAGAUGGGAAAGGAAUACAAUAUUGCUCUUUUAUUAGAGUCUGUAAUUUAGGCAUAAAAUUAUAUUUUUAGAGGCAAAAGUCACUUGUCGAAUCCUGGCACCACACAUAGCAGUUGUAUGCAGGCUGGGAAUUGCUGAGCACCGGAGGGAUUCUGACACUGAGCUCCUAACAGCAAAUGUCCAUGGCCGAACUGCCUGCCUUAUUUGCUGAACAUAAUGUUUGGCUCGAACGCAGCCUGUUUUUCUCAUUGCCAACCAUUUAUAAACCUGACUCAGGCUCACAGAUGCAUUAUCCAGAAGUAGAUAGGGAAGGGAGUUGGAAUAGAUUAUGCAUUCAUUAUCCAGAAGUAGCCACCAGAUACAUUUGCACAUUUGUCUGCUGCUCAGUUGUUUGCAAAUUGUUCCUGUCAGUUGACACUGUGUUUGUUCAGUCACCCACGGCAGGAGUCACCUGGCCCAAGGUAGAGCUCUGCACCUGAGCGAGACAUCCAGACCCCUGUGUGGCAAAGAGGGGCACAUGAGGGGCUGUGAGGCAUCUCCUCCAAAGUUAAACAUCAAAAGAAAGCUGGCUGAACGUGCUCUUGAAGUGUCCAAGCAGGCAGGCUGGAUAAGUGACUCGGAUGUAGACCUCUACUGUUAGGGGAGAUGAAGUCCAUGCCUUGUGUUCAGAUGAUUUAAAAAAGGAGAUAGAAGUAGCAGUUAACAUUUUCUGCACAUUUCAAAGCAUAAACUCUCUGCAAAGAUGUGCCUCAGCUCUGUGACACUGUGGCUAUUUCCUGAGGCGUCCACUGCCUAUCCCAGUACAUGCAGGUACAUCCAAAAGUAACAGAGCAACAAAUGGAGAAGGUGUCAGGAGGAAAAAUAUUCAGAAAGUGUUUCUGGGUGGUGGGGAAAUAUGCUUUCCCAGAGUUGAGCCUGCCCUGGUCUUACAGUGGAUGUGCAGCUGCAGAUAUUCUCUCUACUCUUCUGCUACAGUAAGUGUGAACUUUCUGGGAGCACUUGCUAUGCAAAAAGUGUUUAAAUUAAUUACUGAAGUGGUGCACUGCACAAUCUGGGCUCCCAGUCUCAGUGGGACAGGCACACCUGAGCAGGGACAGAUGGACCUGAAUGGGGCAGGCAGAUGUCCUGACUGCUGCACCCCUAAGGAAUGGUGAAGGGACAGGAGUGUCUUGCUCUGCUGAUCACAUGCUGGAUUUAUCCUUGUAAAUAUUAUGUUUACUUCCAAUAAACUGUUUUACAUA